AGAAAAGAGAAAAAAGACUCAUGGUCAAAGAGAAAAAGAAGUCAAAAUCAAGGUGUUCAAGCAGGCAGUUGAGCGUGGACCAAGCCACGCUAAGUUGACCUGGACACCAGCUUGACCUGGACACUAGCCUGACCUGGACUAAUCUGCUCAAGCAAGCAGCUGAGCGGACCUGCUUGGCCGCUCAGCCUAGCACCAGAGUGAUCCUAACACGGUCAGAACUCAAGCUUGGCACAGUCAGACACAAGCCUGGCACGCGCCCAAGCUGCUCAACAAGUAGCUCAGCAGUGACACAUGUGUGCUCAGCGGUGAACCAGACUUCUUCCCAGGUCAGCAAGCACCAAGCUACGUCUCAGUCAGCACGGUCAAAGUUUCCCAACAAGAAGCUUAGCGGUGCCACAGGUGUGCUAAGCGGUGUGCACCCAGACUUGACUUAUCCAUCAAGCAAACCAUGAAGUCACCAAUGACAUCACUUCAAGUAGCCCACCAUAGGCUUUUCAGAGUAGCUCGCCAUAGCUGGUCCCAUAGCUCACAACUAGCUUUGGUGAGUCAAGCUUAAGGAGGUGACAAAGCUGCUUGAUCAAGUGACCAAACCCAUGCUGAAGGGUGUGGUCAGCUGCUGAGCGGUGCAAACAAGCAGCUCAGUGGCUCCAAGGAAAUUUCUAUAAAUAGGAGGCAUUUCAUUCGAAUCAAGAGACAUCAUACAUCAUUCACCAUCUUGCCUUGAAUUUCUUCUUCCCAGAAGUUCUCUCUUCUUGUUCUUAGUUCAUAGGAGCUUUGUUUAAGUAAGUUUUGUAAUUUUACUUUAUAAUUCAAGAGGAGAAAAGGAUAAGGCAAAUGAGAUGCAAAAAUGAAUUUUGCAAUCUCAUUUAGAACUGAAAGCACCCAAUCCUUGGAUGGAUGACUCAUGCUCUUAACAAUUUCUUUUGAAUGUGGUUAUGUAUUUCUA
rnacentral:lncRNA from 1 species